rnacentral:rRNA from 1 species
GCCCUAGGGGGACAGCAGUGGGGAAUAUUGGCCAAUGGGGGGAACCCUGGUCCAGCGACGCCGCGUGAGUGAAGAAGUAUUUCGGUAUGUAAAGCUCUAUCAGCAGGGAAGAAAGAAAUGACGGUACCUGACUAAGAAGCCCCGGCUAACUACGUGCCAGCAGCCGCGGUAAUGCGUAGGGGGCAAGCGUUAUCCGGAUUUACUGGGUGUAAAGGGAGCGUAGACGGCGAUGCAAG